ACAGAAUCUGAUUUGCAUCAAGCUUUUGGUAAUGUGGUGAACGACAAUCGCAAUGGACUAAAAGAGUUUGCUAGUAGUUGUGCCAAGAAACCUCGUUGGAAAAUCAGCAAAGGAAAUGCUGCAGAAAUUAUUGGUGUUGUCUUUGGAAUUUUAAUUUUGCUCGUUUUCAUCUUGUGUAUGUUCCUUUGGCUAAGGAAGCGCCGCCAGGAAAACGAGGCUUCAACGAAGCUCUUCGACAAUACUGUGGCUAACGAAACUGCAGUUAAUGUUGACAAGUAAAUUCAACAAGUACCGUCCAACAGAUACCAAGGAACAAUACAAACCGACGACGUCACUAUGUUAUUAUUUAAUAUUUAACUUUGGACAUAAAGCCAAGAAUCCACCAUUAAGUAACAUAUACUACUGCAGCACUAACUGCUUUCAUUAUGAUGCUGUCAGUCAUGAAUUUUUAAAGAAAAAUAUCUUAUCAAUGAUAUUGCGAGGUUUCUUUGAAAUUUUAUUAUGUAUCAAGUGACCUGUUGUAAUGUAUUUUGACGUUGGCUGCGUGUCAGCCUCUUAAUGUGGUUUACAUAAAGUAUCGUAUCAACCUUGCAUAAAUCAUAUAGUUGUGCCAUAUAACAUGAAGAUGAUUCUUAUUUUAAAACUGGAAUCUAAUUUUGUAUAUGAUCAUUUUAUCACAUAAUAUAUACGUUUUCGUUUUUGUAAAUAUCGCGAAUUAUAUAUUGUAUAAUCAAUGAUACAGUUUACAUAUUU